GGAAUAGAGAGUUUUUAGUUUGGACGUCUCUUCCUCAAACCCUUCUCAUCUCCAAAUCUUCAAAGGGGAGAAGGAAGUGUCUAUUAGGGUUUGAAUCCUGAUCUGUUAUAUUUUCGAAAUCAGAUGCAAGUGAACAAAUGUGAUCGAUGGAUCGAUCUGUGAAGAGAAAAUGGGAGAGAGAUGGAGAUGGAUAUGAAGCAAUGUUGACAGAAGAGAGAGAGCACAACCCGCCAUUGGGUAAAGGGAAUCUUUAUUUUUGUUGGGAGUGUACUCUCUCCUCUCCUGUCAUCAUCUCAAUCCUUUCUUUCAUGUUUACCAUUCAGAUCAUUCUCCUCAUACUGCACUGUAAGCUUUUCAUGAUCUCUCUAAUUUUCAGUUACAACUUGACCAUGGCUAAUCAAGUUGAAACAUUGAGAGUAAUCAAUCAAUUACGAUGGAAGGACUGUUAAUCAGAAUAUGUUAAAGAACUAAUUAAGAAGGAAAGAAAGUGAUAUUUCUGUGAUGCAGUUCCUUGAACCAGCGCCUGUUUUUGUCAUCUAAUAGGAUACUGUUUCAGGUAUAUAUAUUAAUGCUUCUAAUUGAGGUUCAUUUCCUUGUUAUUUUUAGGCUACUGGGUAGGGAAGGGCAUAUAUAUAUAUAUCUUCUGUUUUCUAUUAAGAAAAAUAAUUUAAUUGCAUUCUGCUGCACUGCAAAGAUGAAUGAAUCUUAAUUAAUUACCCAUACCAUUUUGAUGUCUCUACCAUGUGAGGGACCAGCAAAUAUUGUCACAAAAUUUAUGUUUUAAAUAAGAAAAAAGAAAAAAAAAGGAAAAUUCCAUUCUUUACAAAAGAAUGAAUUGUUUUUAUUGAAUAUUUUAAAAUAUUUUUUUUUUUAUAUAAUUUAUUUAUAAUCGCUAUCCUCAGGUGUUCGGUCAUUAAAAUCCUAUUCUUUUUCUUAUUCAAUUUAGUUUAAUUGUUUGAAGGAGACUUCUUAGUAGUGGUCCAGCUCUUAAGGGUAAUCCCCCCUUGUCAAUUCAAGAGAUUAUGAGUGACAUUCAAAAUCUUAUAAGGGAGCUUAACUCUUUUUCUGUAUUUUUCAUCAAGAGAGACGGGAACAAGAUUGCUAAUAGCUUAGCUUCAAAAUCUGUCCGUAAUGAAUCCUUUGUUUGUUAUCCCAUAUUUUGCCUUAAUGUUUUCUACAACUUCAAUCUAAUUUAUCACUGUUUCACUACUGAAAGCUUUUAUAUAGUUUCUCUUAUAGCCAUGCAGUUCUUUCUUUGAACCUAAGGUCUUAUGGUAGAAAUAGUGACGAUCUAUUAAUCGUUGGUGGAAUCUUGCAUAGCAAAUCAAUGAAGGUAGUGAGUGAUGGAAAAUAAUUGUUCUACUUUCUGAUUUGUACGAGUUGCUUUGGUUGAAGCAAUAAUUCUACACACAUGUGGGCAUAAACAUCUGGUGGCCAUGCAAUUGAAGCAGAAUGCACGGGUAAGUAUGAAAAGAAUAAUCCAGUCCAGUGCAACAGCCAGUGGGAGGCUUAAAAUGGAACAACAUUAUACACAGAAAAGUUAAGAUGACCGUUCACUUGGCCCAUAAAAAAGCAAACAUUAAAAAAAUUUGGGAAUGGAAGGACCCAGCACAAGUCAAAUAGAAAUAUGAAUUUGCAGUCAAUUUGCAAAUUUGGGAGGUCGAUUUUGACAUGAAAUGCUUACUAUGCUAUCACUUUACCCUUGAAGCCCACCCAACUGUUAUCCCAUGGAGAGACUUCAGUUUCAUGACGGUUCGCUUCAGCGUGCCUUUCUCUCAUAAUCAAAUCAAAUCAUCUCCACUUGGUCAUCCACUUAGAAGACUAUAUUUAUAGUUAAUGAAUUGUGAUUUUUAUUGGAAUAGAAAAUUAAUUUCAUGUUGAUUUAGGAGUUAUCGCAUCUCAAUAGAAGAUAUAUUUAAUAUUGAA